AUGGAGUGCCUAGUGCUAGUGCUCCAUCUGCUUCUGCUCCUAGUGGUACUGCUCCACUUUCUGCUACUCCUAGUGCUCCUAGGGGAAGUGCUCGUCCACCAAAGUUCACAACAAAGCACUUCACACAAAAGAAGGGCCACCGAGGAGAUGGCACCACCAAGACAAGCAAAGAGAAGGGCGCCAACUAAUAACAACAGUAGGUCAAAUAAUUUCUCUGGAAAUACCUUCAAUGUACAUGGAAGCUCGAAUGUCAAUGUCAAUGUUUGCACUGGUACUUCUCGCGCGACAACUAGCAGCAAAGUUACCAAAGAGAGGUGCAGUAGCAAUGGUAGUAACAAAGGCAAGGGGACUGGCAAGGCCAAAUAUGCUCGGUUUCGAAGCUUGCUGGGAUUUGAAAAUUGA
rnacentral:rRNA from 1 species